rnacentral:rRNA from 1 species
UACGUAGGGUGCAAGCGUUGUCCGGAAUUAUUGGGCGUAAAGAGCUCGUAGGCGGUCUGUUGCGUCGGCUGUGAAAACCCGGGGCUCAACCCCGGGCCUGCAGCCGAUACGGGCAGACUAGAGUGCGGUAGGGGAGACUGGAAUUCCUGGUGUAGCGGUGGAAUGCGCAGAUAUCAGGAGGAACACCGAUGGCGAAGGCAGGUCUCUGGGCCGCAACUGACGCUGAGGAGCGAAAGCAUGGGGAGCGAACAGG